rnacentral:rRNA from 1 species
UACGUAGGGGGCAAGCGUUGUCCGGAUUUAUUGGGCGUAAAGAGCGUGUAGGCGGCUAGGUAGGUCCGUUGUGAAAACUCGAGGCUCAACCUCGAGCUGUCGAUGGAAACCAUCUGGCUAGAGUCCGGAAGAGGAGAGUGGAAUCCUGGUGUAGCGGUGAAAUGCGCAGAUAUCAGGAAGAACACCCGUGGCGAAGGGCGGGCUCUCUGGGACGGGUACUGACGCGAGACGCGAAAGCGUGGGAGCGAACAGG